rnacentral:rRNA from 1 species
CCUAAAGGCGUAAUGAAAGUAAAGAUUGUUCUUGUAACAAUUAAGGGAAGAUGGGUUAUGUUACGAUAUAACCUCGCACUCCCGGGGCGUCUUAUUCUCAUUGAGACAAGGCGCACCUAGAGCGUACACGUUGGGACCCGAAAGAUGGUGAACUAUGCCUGGUCAGGAUGAAGUCAGGGGAAACCCUGAUGGAAGUCCGUAGCGAUUCUGACGUGCAAAUCGAUCGUCAGAGCUGGGUAUAGGGGCGAAAGACUAAUCGAACCAUCUAGUAGCUGGUUCCCUCCGAAGUUUCCCUCAGGAUAGCUGGCAUUUAUUAUAACGAGUCUCAUCUGGUAAAGCGAAUGAUUAGAGGCCUUGGGGUCGAAACGACCUCAACCUAUUCUCAAACUUUAAAUGGGUGAGAUCUCUGGCUUGCUUGAAUAUAUGAAGCCAUGAGAUUAACUUAAUUAUUGGAUCAAAGUGCCAAGUGG